rnacentral:rRNA from 1 species
AUUGAACGCUGGCGGCAUGCUUUACACAUGCAAGUCGAACGGCAGCGCGGGCUUCGGCCUGGCGGCGAGUGGCGAACGGGUGAGUAAUACAUCGGAACGUGCCCAGUAGUGGGGGAUAGCUCGGCGAAAGCCGGAUUAAUACCGCAUACGAUCUGAGGGUGAAAGCGGGGGAUCUUCGGACCUCGCGCUAUUGGAGCGGCCGAUGGCAGAUUAGCUAGUUGGUGGGGUAAAGGCCUACCAAGGCGACGAUCUGUAGCUGGUCUGAGAGGACGACCAGCCACACUGGGACUGAGACACGGCCCAGACUCCUACGGGAGGCAGCAGUGGGGAAUUUUGGACAAUGGGCGAAAGCCUGAUCCAGCAAUGCCGCGUGUGUGAUGAAGGCCUUCGGGUUGUAAAGCACUUUUGGCGGGAACGAAAAGGACUGUGCCAAUACCACGGUUCGAUGACGGUACCCGCAGAAUAAGCACCGGCUAACUACGUG